UACGUAGGGGCAAGCGUUGUCCGGAAUCAUUGGGCGUAAAGAGCGCGUAGGCGGCCCGAUAAGUCCGCUGUGAAAGUCAAGGGCUUAACCCUUGAAUGCCGGUGGAAACUGUCGGGCUAGAGUCCGGAAGAGGCGAGUGGAAUUCCUGGUGUAGCGGUGAAAUGCGCAGAUAUCAGGAGGAACACCAAUGGCGAAGGCAGCUCGCUGGGACGUGACUGACGCUGAGACGCGAAAGCGUGGGGAGCAAACAGG
rnacentral:rRNA from 1 species